rnacentral:rRNA from 1 species
GACGAACGCUGGCGGCGUGCUUAACACAUGCAAGUCGAACGGAAAGGCCCUGCUUUUGUGGGGUGCUCGAGUGGCGAACGGGUGAGUAACACGUGAGUAACCUGCCCUUGACUUUGGGAUAACUUCAGGAAACUGGGGCUAAUACCGGAUAGGAGCUCCUGCUGCAUGGUGGGGGUUGGAAAGUUUCGGCGGUUUGGGAUGGACUCGCGGCUUAUCAGCUUGUUGGUGGGGUAGUGGCUUACCAAGGCUUUGACGGGUAGCCGGCCCGAGAGGGUGACCGGCCACAUUGGGACUGAGAUACGGCCCAGACUCCUACGGGAGGCAGCAGUGGGGAAUAUUGCACAAUGGGCGGAAGCCUGAUGCAGCAACGCCGCGUGCGGGAUGACGGCCUUCGGGUUGUAAACCGCUUUCGCCUGUGACGAAGCGUGAGUGACGGUAAUGGGUAAAGAAGCACCGGCUAACUACGUG